rfam:Candidatus Zambryskibacteria bacterium RIFCSPLOWO2_01_FTLL_43_17 rifcsplowo2_01_scaffold_19036, whole genome shotgun sequence.
UUUUAUGAGAGUUUGAUCCUAGCUCAGGAUGAACGCUGGCGGCGUGGAUAAGGCAUGCAAGUCGAACGCCCCGCAAGGGGAGUGGCAGACGAGGUAGUAAUACGCAGGAACGCACCCGAAAGUCGAGGAUAGCUCGCCGAAAGGCGGGGUAACCCCCGAUGUGAUGGAAACAUCAAAAAUUUAUUGCUUUCGGAGCGGCCUACGGGCUAUCAGCUUGUUGGUAGGGUAAUGGCCUACCAAGGCGAUGACGGCUAGGGGAGCUGAGAGGCUGACCCCCACCGAUGGUACUGAGACACGGACCAUACACCU